CCUGCCGGCCGCUCGCACGCUCGCUGUCUCUCCACACUCCCGUAUUCAUUUUUCUCCUUUUCUCUCUUACCCGCCUGCUGUGUUCCCUUCCUCCGCUUUCCUUCCUUCUGCCUGCUCUGCUCUACUCCCGUCCCGCUCGGCUUUGGCCUUUGCAUCCGGGCCGCCAGCAAGCUCUCCGCUCCUUGCUUCCCUUUCUCUCCCUUUCCUUCCCCUCUCCCCUCCCGCCGUCUGGGCCUUCUUACCCCGUCUGCCUUGGCUGCUCGAGGGCCGCUCUUCCGCCAGGCCUUCCAUUUCCGACUCUGUCCCAUGGUCUCUCUCCCUCCUUCUCCUUCCCCCAGCCUCGCUCUCCCCGCCACGGUCUCCUUUCCUCACCCCUCUCUGCCUGCUUCGCUCGGGACCGCCCCCCACCCCAGCGUGUCUCUCGCUUCCUUUUCCCCUCUCCUCAUUCGUUUUUUCCCCCUACACUUUCUCUUCAUCUUUCCUCUUUGCUCCCCUCUCUUGCUCAUCUCCAUCCCUUCUCUCCCCCCCACUUUUCUCUCUCCCCACCCUUACAAUCUCUCUCGCUCUUUCCUUUCUCUCCUUUUUGAAUCUGUCACCUCUUCUCUCCUGCCACACUUCUCCCCUCCACUGGCCGCCUUUCCUCUGCACCUUGUCUCCCAGUGUCAGGGAGGCCCCUCCAGGCUCUGCCAGCCACAUCCUCUCCCUUUGCCUCCCCUCCUUCCCUCUCCCUUCCUGAAGUUCGGAGCUGACAUCCUCCCAGGGAUCUGCGCAGCCUGGAACAGGGCUGCCAAGCCAGGCCUUCCCAUCCCCACCCCACCCCCGAGGGUGGAAGGGCCUCUGUGACACCCAUUUUCUCUCUUUUCUGUCUGUCCCGGAUGCUGCCCACUGCCUGGAGGAAGGACGCCUGCCCCCGGCCUAGGAAGGAGGAACCGAGGAGUUGGCUCAGAGAUAAAGACACUUGCAUGAAGCAUGGAGCAUGGGAGGACUUCAUUUUGCAGUUGGGAACACAGGAACCCGUGUUCCUGAAGACCAGCACCUGCUAAGACAGAGGCUUCAUGGAACCCCAACCUUCUCAAGGGCCAAGAGCACCCCCUGAAAAGCUCUUUUCUUCAGAGAGAGGGUCCACAUGGGCCUGACCUCCCCAGAGUAUCCAGCCGAGCAUGCUAUGGGCCUGAGGGGCAUUCUCAAGCAGGGUGAACUCUUUUAUCGCCACCUACUGAUAGAGGACAGAACUGUUACCAAGCUGUAUUAGAUACCAGAAAUGGUCUCAAGCAAAACUCUGCAAAAAUGACAAUUUUUACUCCUGGUCAAUAUGGUACGGUACCCAGCAAGCUUCAUAGCGUGCCAACGUACACCUCCAGACUGACUUCGUGUUUUCAAGUCAUCCUACGGCUGGCUUCUCCUCUGCACUGCCACAGAAAUACAUACAUGACCACUGUGGGAAACUAAGGAAGGUGGGAUUUGCUUUACAGUUUGCUUGGGAGCCUAUUUCUAGAAAUCAGGCCAAAUCGAGUUUUUCUUUGUAAUGACACCAUUAUGCCUUGCUGACUGGGAGGUGGGUGCAGGCAAAGAUGAAUGACUGACAGCUAAAGAGGCCUCAGGGACAGGUCCCCGAUUCUCACCAUGGCAUCUCUCUGAUGGGUUAAAUAAAGGCGCCUAUUGAACUCCUUCCAAAAGCCA